CAGGAUCACAGACGUUUAAAUUACACUCCUUCUGCUGCGCCUUACAGCAGUAGAAGGGGUGAAAUUUAAACGUCUGUGAUCCUG
rfam:Gorilla gorilla gorilla genomic chromosome, chr16, whole genome shotgun sequence